rnacentral:rRNA from 1 species
CGGGGGGCAGCAGUGGGGAAUUUUCUGCAAUGGGCGAAAGCCUGACAGAGCAAUACCGCGUGAGGGAUGAAGGCUUGCGAGUUGUAAACCUCUUUUGUCAAGGAGGAAGUUCUGACGUGUACUUGACGAAUAAGCAUCGGCUAACUCCGUGCCAGCAGCCGCGGUAAGACGGAGGAUGCAAGUGUUAUCCGGAAUAACUGGGCGUAAAGCGUCUGUAGGUGGUUUAAAAAGUCUAUUGUUAAAGCUUGAAGCUUAACUUCAAAAAUGCAAUAGAAACUUUUAAACUUGAGUGUGGUAGGGGUAAAGGGAAUUUCCAGUGGAGCGGUGAAAUGCGUAGAUAUUGGAAAGACCACCAAUGGCGAAGGCACUUUACUGGGCCAUUACUGACACUGAGAGACGAAAGCUAGGGGAGCAAAUGGGAUUAGAUACCCCGGU